UUAAUGUUCUCAAGGGAUGGAUGGUA
rnacentral:piRNA from 1 species